rnacentral:rRNA from 1 species
AUUGAACGCUGGCGGCAUGCCUUACACAUGCAAGUCGAACGGCAGCACGGGAGCAAUCCUGGUGGCGAGUGGCGAACGGGUGAGUAAUAUAUCGGAACGUGCCCAGUAGUGGGGGAUAGCCCGGCGAAAGCCGGAUUAAUACCGCAUACGACCUGAGGGUGAAAGCGGGGGAUCGCAAGACCUCGCGCUAUUGGAGCGGCCGAUAUCAGAUUAGCUAGUUGGUGGGGUAAAGGCCUACCAAGGCUACGAUCUGUAGUUGGUCUGAGAGGACGACCAGCCACACUGGGACUGAGACACGGCCCAGACUCCUACGGGAGGCAGCAGUGGGGAAUUUUGGACAAUGGGCGCAAGCCUGAUCCAGCAAUGCCGCGUGCAGGAAGAAGGCCUCGGUUGUAACUGCUUUGUACGGAACGAAAGGUACUGGGUUAAUACCCUGGCUCAUGACGGUACCGUAAGAAUAAGCACCGGCUAACUACGUG